rnacentral:sRNA from 1 species
UGCACAUUUUAUGCACAAGCACCGCCGAGUUUCAUUAGCGCACGGCUCUCACCGAGAGCCAUUCCCCUGAGCCCGAAACAUGGACAUAGUUUCGGGCUUUUUUUA